AAGUCGUAACAAGGUUUCCGUAGGUGAACCUGCGGAAGGAUCAUUAACACGUAUCCAACGUUAAACCCCCCUGUGAACCUUCAUUGUGCUCCCACGCUUUGUUAGAAAGUAGCAAUCCCUGGUAAAUCAUCGCCGAACAGUUUUGAUUCAGGGACUUCUGCGAAGAGGGUGACGCCAUUCGUACAGAGUUAGUGACACUUUCAGACACCAACAAGCAGAGGAAUGCCCGGUCCAUUGCCUCGCGCUACAAUAGUCACGUUCGCUAGAGGCCGAUACGGCCGGCGACCGGGUCCCUGAGCUCACUCAGAGCUCCCUAAUAACCUUUGCAUGAAAACGGGCCUGCGCUUAAUUGUGCGGCCACCAAACUCGAACAACUGUUAACAAUGGAUAUCUUGGUUCUC
rnacentral:misc_RNA from 1 species